rnacentral:rRNA from 1 species
GACGAACGCUGGCGGCGUGCCUAACACAUGCAAGUCGCACGGAACCCGCAAGGGUUCAGUGGCGGACGGGUGCGUAACACGUGAGGAACAUGCCUAUCGGCGGGGGAUAGCCGGCCCAACGGCCGGGUAAUACCGCGUACGCUCACUCGGGGGCAUCUCCGGGUGAGGAAAGCAGCAAUGCACCGAUAGAGUGCCUCGCGGCCUAUCAGCUAGUUGGUGAGGUAAUGGCUCACCAAGGCUACGACGGGUAGCUGGUCUGAGAGGAUGAUCAGCCACAUUGGGACUGAGACACGGCCCAGACUCCUACGGGUGGCUG